UAGGUUGUGCGACAUUUUAAUUGUAGCUGGGCAUGAAGUUCAUGUUGUUACGGGUGCUCCGGACUUUGGUUUUACUAGCGAGAUUCAGUCUCCCAACCUCCACAUUCGCAAGGACGUGCUGGAUUGUGGAGUUGUGCAAGCUGAUGCAUUGACAGUGGACCGUCUGUCCUCCUUGCAGAAGUACUCCGAGACGACUGUGGUGCGAAGGCCUUCCAUUUUGGCAGCAGAAGUAUCAGAGAAUGAUAUGUUGAUACUUUCAGAGGUAAGAUUUUUUUUUCUUUGUAUAUUUCACAUAAAUUUAACUGUAGAGUAUAAAAACCGAACAAACCGAACCGAACCGCACCGAACCGA